CCUACGGGAGGCAGCAGUGGGGAAUAUUGGGCAAUGGAGGCAACUCUGACCCAGCAACGCCGCGUGAAUGAUGAAGGUCUUCGGGUUGUAAAGUUCUUUUAAGAGGGAAGAAGAAAGUGCGGGACCCUUUGAAUAAGGCCUCGGCUACCUACGUGCCAGCAGCCGCGGUAAUACGUAGGAGCCAAGCGUUAUCCGGUUUGACGGGGCGUAAGGGGGGCGCAGGUGGUAAGACAAGUCAGUAGGGAAACCCCGAGGCUCAACCGUGGAACUCCUAUUAAAACUGUUUUACUUGAGCGCAGGAGAGGCAACCGGAAUUCCUAGUGUAGCGGUGAAAUGCGUAGAUAUAAGGAAGAACACCAGUGGCGAAGGCGGGUGGCUGGACGGUAACUGACGGUGAGGCGCGAAAGCGUGGGGAGCAAACAGGAUUAGAUACCCGGGUAGUC
rnacentral:rRNA from 1 species